CUCGCGAGCCCAUCAUCCAUAAUCGCCCGCUCCGCUUCGGUCGCCUCACCGCCAGCUUGCGUCGCCGCCAGCUCUCCUCGCCAGAUCCACUGCUCCGCCGGCCAGCUCGAUCCGCCUCGCACAUCCACCUCGCCGGCCAGCUUCCGCCCCCUGUUUCUCCUUCGAUCCAUGCCGUCCAGCGUCACGACUGCCCCCUAUUCCUCUCCACCGAUGCGUACCCCGGGCGACGGUUCUCCAUCCUGGCAUUAGCAGUUCGAGGCCCCAAUCAUGGCUGCGAUUCGUGCUUUGCCGGGCUCCACCAUCGAUUAAAUCCGCUGCAUUGGGGUUUCUCCUGCCGGCCGUAGAACAGGCAUCUGAUUGCAAAAAUUCCGCCCUAUUCAAAGCACGCACUUCCAAAUCCAAGACAUUUCGUUCCGCUCGAUGUAGUCAUGCUUCCUCAUAUCCAGCACAAGGGCUAAGGUGACGCAACCUCUAGGCAAUGUUGUUUGUUGGUGGUUGCCUUGUUGCCGACGAAGAACUCGAGGUGCACGUGGAGCUCACACAUGAUCGGCUACUUCAACGCGCAGUGAUGCUGGCUAUGCAGAAGUGAAAUUAUUGUUGUUUGGAUAAAAGUGUAUAAUGUUACCAUAGAAAUAGAAAUAAUGCUAGUUAAAUUUGUAUAAUGUGAAUAGUCAAAAAAAAUUGUAUAAUGUUCUUAUCA